rnacentral:misc_RNA from 1 species
UAAAACAGGCCAUUUAUUAUGUGGUGCUGAUGUGGGAGGGGAGGGGGUUGGCUCAGGCUUGUGCAAAUAUUGCUGCAUACAACUACUUGUUCCCAGCAUAUGCAAAGACCUGCUUGGGGGAAUCUAUAGCUAGUCCCUCCUUUGAAUAUGAGAACCUGAUGAAUUCCCAAAAAUGGAACUCAUUCAAAAGCUGGGGAUGGCUUUCAUCAACUAGUUCUUUGGUGGUUUGAUCAUUGUCCCCAUUAUUGGAACUGCAAAGGCUCCCAAUGUGUACCUGUCUUUGUCUCCCUUCAUCUUGACUCUGUGCUUCCCUGCAUGCAAUCUUCCAUUGCUCCAUGCCUGCAAACCAAUGUCGAUGUACAGUUUCAGUGUUCAUUUAAUUUCUUGGGUUAUGAAAUAAGCACUUUCUAAUAUAUUAAGCGCCCAGCAGCAAGGAUGUGCUGAUUUGGAACAAGAACAAGAGAGAUUUUGAUACAAUUGCCAUGAGAGGAUCUCCAACAAUAAAGACCAAGGAGUUGGGAGACAGACAAUCUAAUCCACUGUCCAUCUCUAGUGUCGACUUGAAGACCUGAAACUUCCUCUUCUACAGAAGGGUACACAUGAGCUAACAGGUAUGGGCACAGUCCAUUCAUGCAUUCCCCUUUAGGGUGAGCUCUGUGUCUCAUCAUCCUCAGCAAAGUCUUGCAUUCUAUGAUUGAAUCCGACUUUCCUCCCAAGCUAUAGCUAUCAAGAAUCAUCAUCCGUAUUAUCUGGUGUAGCACCUCCACUGGCUUCAUCAUGGAACUAAUGCCAUGGCAGAAUUGCUGGUGUCCAUGAGGGCACAGACGUUCUGCGAAGCCAUUGAGAGAAUCAUGGUUGGAG